ACCACCGUGGCACAAUGGCUACGGCAUUCGGCUAUUAACCGAAAGGUUGGUUGUUCGAGACCACCUGGGAGGGCU